UCUGGGGGAGCGCUUUGUCCACCUCAGCACAAAGCGCUUCCUUGAAGGCGCGCUUUGUUGACGUGGACAAAACGCUCCCCCAGGG
rfam:Gossypium arboreum cultivar AKA8401 contig_337_3, whole genome shotgun sequence.